rnacentral:rRNA from 1 species
UACGUAGGGGGCAAGCGUUGUCCGGAAUCAUUGGGCGUAAAGCGCGUGUAGGCGGCUUGGUAAGUCUGCUCUGAAAGCCCGGGGGCUCAACCCCGGGAGGCGGGUGGAUACUGCCGAGCUCGAGUCCGGAAAGAGGCGAGUGGAAUUCCUGGUGUAGCGGUGAAAUGCGCAGAUAUCAGGAGGAACACCGAUGGCGAAGGCAGCUCGUGGG